rnacentral:rRNA from 1 species
GAUGAACGCUGGCGGCGUGCCUAAUACAUGCAAGUCGAGCGAACAGACGAGGAGCUUGCUCCUCUGACGUUAGCGGCGGACGGGUGAGUAACACGUGGAUAACCUACCUAUAAGACUGGGAUAACUUCGGGAAACCGGAGCUAAUACCGGAUAAUAUAUUUAACCGCAUGGUUCAAUAGUGAAAGACGGUUUUGCUGUCACUUAUAGAUGGAUCCGCUCCGCAUUAGCUAGUUGGUAAGGUAACGGCUUACCAAGGCAACGAUGCGUAGCCGACCUGAGAGGGUGAUCGCCCACACUGGAACUGAGACACGGUCCAGACUCCUACGGGAGGCAGCAGUAGGGAAUCUUCCGCAAUGGGCGAAAGCCUGACGGAGCAACGCCGCGUGAGUGAUGAAGGUCUUCGGAUCGUAAAACUCUGUUAUUAGGGAAGAACAAAUGUGUAAGUAACUAUGCACGUCUUGACGGUACCUAAUCAGAAAGCCACGGCUAACUACGUG